rnacentral:rRNA from 1 species
AUUCCAGCUCCAAUAGCGUAUAUUAAAGUCGUUGCAGUUAAAAAGCUCGUAGUUGGAUUUGGGACGGGAGUCGGUCGGCCGGCCGCAAGGUCUGUUACUGGUCGGCUUCGUCAUUUACACUCUCGGAGACCCGUCGUGCACUUCGCUGUGCUGCGGCGCGGGACUCGGGACGUUUACUUUGAAAAAAUUAGAGUGUUCAAAGCAGGCUCUGCCAGCCCGGAUACAUGAGCAUGGAAUAAUGGAAUAGGAUUGCGGUUCUAUUUUGUUGGUUUCUACGACCGCAGUAAUGAUUAAGAGGGACAAUUGGGGGCGUCCGUAUUUCGUUGUCAGAGGUGAAAUUCUUGGAUUUACGAAAGACGAACAACUGCGAAAGCAUUCGCCAAGAGUGUUUUCAUCG